ACAUAAAUCAGCUGGUCUACUGCUACUGCGUUUUCACGGCAGUCGGUUCUACGUUACCGACCCGGAUUAUACGAGUAUCCGGCCAAGGACUAUCACUUCAGCAGCUUUCACCGUAUGUGGUAGCACUAGACCAACAACAAUGUUUUCGUUAGAUAAGCUAGACGAAGACGACUGGUAACUACAUUGCACUGACUGGAUUUAGUAAGCUGCUACAACAACAACACAAAGUGGAGUGGAGCGUAGGGCUUGAAAUGGGAACCAGAAAAAAGCUAAAUUUUACUUUGUUGUUAUCUAGAGAAUUCAAGCAAUAACAUAACACACACCAUUAUUGUUCUUGCUUUACUACCGGUGCCCAUGAACCAAUCAAAGAAGAUCACGCAUUCAAAGGAGAUAUAAAGUAAAUUUCUGGCCAUGGCUCCUCGCUCUCGUUACCAAAUUUGUUUGC